CUGCUUUCGGUUAUUGCUGGAACCGCCGGAACUGCUACCGGAGACACUUCCACGUGUGGACGCAAUUAAAGGCUUGGCUCUCAGCGGAGAAGACGAAUACAGUCUCACACAGCGUGAGGCCUUGUUAGUCACGAAGUGGACCAAACCGAACCCCGACAGACAGCAAAUGUGCUGCAGGCUUGAGUUGUCGCAUUCCGCAAGGGUCAAGCUUGUGCAAGUUAAAAAUUGCUGGAGCUAUAGACAAGUAUCCCUAUCUCAGGGACAUUGAAUGGGGGACAAAAGGUACAUCUGGAACACACAAAAGGAAUUCCCGGAAAGACUUCCUUGAGGAUUUCAAGCAACUUCUGAAGAAAGAUGGGAAUGAAGCGGUCGAGGCGGCGUUUAAUAAGAUUGUGAAACUUGCUCUAAGAGGAGACCAAGGGGGCUACAAAAAAAGACCUGAAGCCUUUACUUGAAGUUGAUCCGCCAGGAACCGGUGCAAGACGCAAGAAACACGUUCAGGUCGUACGUGCUGUGGAACUCCUGGCAAGA